CAGCAGCUAGGAAUCUUGGGAAUGGGCGAAAGCCUGACCCAGCAACGCCGCGUGGGCGAUGAAGGCCUUAGGGGUCGUAAAGCCCUUUUUGCGGGGGGACGAUGAUGACGGUACCCCCGCGAAUUAAGCCACGGCUAACUACGUGCCAGCAGCCGCGGUAAUACGUAGGUGGCAAGCGUUGUCCGGAUUUACUGGGCGUAAAGGGCGCGCAGGCGGUCUGUUUUAGUCUAGGGUGAAAGCUCCCGGCUCAACUGGGAGAGGUCCUUGGAUACUGGCAGACUCGAGGGAGGCAGAGGAAAGUGGAAUUCCCGGUGUAGUGGUGAUAUGCGUAGAUAUCGGGAGGAACACCAGUGGCGAAGGCGGCUUUUCUGGGCCUUACCUGACGCUGAGGCGCGAAAGCGUGGGGAGCGAACCGGAUUAGAUACCCGGGUAGUCCACGCCGUAAACGAUGGACACUAGGUUGUGGGGGUAUCGACCCCCUCCGUGCCGCAGCUAACGACAAUAAGUGUCCCGCCUGGGGAGUACGGCCGCAAGGACUA
rnacentral:rRNA from 1 species